rnacentral:lncRNA from 1 species
CUGGAACUUGCUGCACAUGCCUAGCUAUAAUUGCCUUAAUUUUAGCUUUUCUACUUUGAGAAAGAAUUUUUAGGCAGAAACAAGCAGCAGCAGCUUCUUCUUGAUUUGACCUAUUUUUUGAUAGUCCACAAAGAAUAGUUUGGUAUGUUUUGCACCAAACAGACGUAAAGAACGUGCACUUUGUAUAUAUUUAGGCUAAGAAAGACUUCUUGUACUCUUGUGGGUAAUUUUGCAAAUUAAAGAAGCAAAAGAUCAGAGAAUAUUGAAACAAAUGGUUUGUUUUGUUUGUUUUCUCCUCUUCGUCUUCUCAAGAAAGCAAAGAAAGAGAGAAAAUGGUUUGAUUGUUAUUCUGAAGAGAGAGGAAGAAAUGGGAGGUCGC